rnacentral:rRNA from 1 species
GACGAACCACACAAACGUUAUUCGGAAUUACUGGGCUUAAAGGGUGCGUAGGCGGCGCAGAAAGUAGGGUGUGAAAUCCCUCGGCUCAACCGAGGAACUGCGCCCUAAACUACUGUGCUCGAGGGAGGUAGAGGUGAGCGGAACUUAGGGUGGAGCGGUGAAAUGCGUUGAUAUCCUAAGGAACACCGGUGGCGAAAGCGGCUCACUGGACCUCUUCUGACGCUGAGGCACGAAAGCUAGGGGAGCGAACGGG